CUUAAAUUUUUUCCUGAAUCUUCUGUUUCUUUUUUCCUAUCAUCUUCUGUUCUCGUUUAUUUUUUUUUAUUUUUAUUUUUUGCUUUUCAAUUUCUCUUCAGAUUUUUCAUUUUUGUGGCUGAAUUUCAUGGCUUUUGAAGGAAAGACUAAACUUUUAGGUGAAAUUGAUUAUUGUUGUAAUCCUAUCUGAUAUAUGAAGAAACAAAAGGGGUUAUCAAGAUGUUUUGGAGAGUAUUUUUAGCUAUAAUUCGGAGUUUUUGUUGUGGAUCAGUAUUUAAAAUCUCCUUAUGAUUUGUGAUUCAGUUUAGCUAAUAAUUUUUGUGUGUGUUUUUUCUUUCAUUUCCUCCAUAGCUCUUCAUCUCUGGAGAAGCUGGAAUUAAGCAAUACAUAACUCAACUUUGCGGGAGGAAAGUACUUGACUAUGUUGAAGUUUCAACUUUGGGCAAGGUGAAUGUGGUGGCUAGCUAGAGGAAGUAGAAAUGGCUAACAAGGUGGAUCACGAGUAUGAUUAUUUAUUUAAGAUUAUUUUGAUUGGAGAUUCAGGAAUCGGAAAAUCUAACAUUCUCUCCAGAUUUACGUGAAAUGUAUCCUGUUUGGAGUCUAAAUCCACCAUUGGCAUCGAUUUUGCAACUAAGACCUUUCAGGUCAAAGGGAAGACUUUAAAUGCACAAAUAUGUGACAACAGUAAGGCAAGAAAGGUACAAAGCCAUAACCACUGCUUAUUACAAAGGAGAUGUGGGCAACUCUUGGUCUAUGACAUAACCAAGAGACAAAAUUUUUAAAAUGUGCACCUAUGGCUCCGCGAGCUCAGGCAUCAUGAGCACCUUCAAAUACAUAAACACAUAGGCACAAGUGGAUAUACACACACAUGAAGCACACACUUUAUAUAUUGCUUUUUUUCCUUUAGCUUCAAACAACUAUUUUACCGAAUUAAAGCAUACUAUGUUACUGGCUUGCGGUCAAGGCGCAAGCCAAUAAAUUAUUCACAUGCUCUUCAAAAAUUACCUUACACAAAUUUUUCAGGUUUCUGGUUUGUGAACUUCUGAAUUUAUC